rnacentral:rRNA from 1 species
CGUGAGGAACCUGCCUUGGAGAGGGGGAUAACACUCCGAAAGGAGUGCUAAUACCGCAUGAUGCAGUUGGGUCGCAUGGCUCUGACUGCCAAAGAUUUAUCGCUCUGAGAUGGCCUCGCGUCUGAUUAGCUAGUAGGCGGGGUAACGGCCCACCUAGGCGACGAUCAGUAGCCGGACUGAGAGGUUGACCGGCCACAUUGGGACUGAGACACGGCCCAG